rnacentral:rRNA from 1 species
UGGGAAUUGCUGGAGAUACUAUUAGACUUGAGAUCGGGAGAGGUCAGAGGUACUCCUGGGGUAGGGGUGAAAAUCCUGGUAAAUCCUAGGAGGACCACCUGUGGCGAAGGCGUCUGACUAGAACGAAUCUGACGGUGAGGAACGAAAGCUAGGGGCGCGAACCGGAUUAGAUACCCGGGUAGUCCUAGCCGUAAACUAUGCGGACUUGGUGUGAGGGUGGCUUUGAGCCGUCCUGGUGCCGAAGGGAAGCUGUUAAGUCCGCCGCCUGGGAAGUACGGUCGCAAGACUGAAACUUAAAGGAAUUGGCGGGGAGCACCACAACGCGUGGAGCCCUGCGGUUUAAUUGGAUUCAACGCCGGAGAUCUCACCAGCGGCGACAGCAGUAUGAUGACCAGGUUGAUGACUUUGUUUGACAAGCUGAGGGGUGGUGCAUGG